AAGGAGAGCUUCGAGUACGUUUACUGCCAAAUGUAAAGCACCGAGAUCACAUAUUAUAUUGUUGCUCACAACAUUUUUUUUUAAAAAGUAUUCCCCACACCAUGCGUGAAAGCCCUCGUUCUGCUCGAGAACCCCCCUGCUUCACCAUCGAGGAAUGUAUGGGAAAUGGACUAGCUUCUUGGAAUGCCACGUGCAAUCACUGCCAGCCAAAAAGAAGGGAAAGAAGAAAAAAAAAAACUGCGGUGCAUGAUUCUCAAUCACUCUUCAAUUGUGAAUUUGGCCGUUGGGGGUACGGUCACCAGGGGUAAGUAAAUGUGCCAUUGCCAGUAAUGACACAGUGCUGUCUCUGUGCCCACUCCACCCCCGGUCUACCCGACUCCCCUCGAAUAAGCUUGGAAGCCUGCAAUAUCUGGCAGCGGCGGUGGGUGGAAGGGAUAUUCAAACUUUCACCAUGGUUUAAAAAUAGCCCGCCUCCUCCGAGACAAAAAAGAGAGCCCUGCUAAUAAUCACGGCUCUGUGCUGGCUGUCUGAAGCAUCUGGUCUGCGAAUGUGUCAUUUUUUUUAGGAGGGGCCUGGGAAACUGUAGACACCAUGCUGCUUGCUGCCCAGAAUAAGAAGCAUGGGAAUAAUUGAAUGGACCUUUCCAACCCUCCGCCCCCUCGAUUCGUGUGGGCCACGAAACGAGCUUGUGUCCGGGAUCGGAUCGGCCUCCCUACCAGCAUAAGUCACUCGGUGGCUCGUUUUGGCAGGAACAGAUGAUUUUAUGGUAAGACGUUAAGAAAAGCCAAGCGACACAAUCGGGUCGACAAAUCAUGGAGAUGGGGAUGGGGGUGCCAGACGGAGCAGCAGAAAGAGCGUAGUUCAUGACACGGAUGUCAAAUAAAGUCACAUCCACCGAAUUAGAAGACUACAUCAUUGUUCUUGAAUUUUUGUUGGAUGUUUACGUUGUACAUCCUUUGUGUGCUCGCUGCUCAACAACCAAUGAGAUGAUGUUUUACUGGCAAGCAGCAGUUACCUGAGCCUAACCCUUCAAAACAUUCACCAAACAUUUCCUAUUCACUUUGUAGUGAUGAGGACUUAGGCUGUUACUUUCCCUUCAUUCACCAACUGCUGGCAAUCUUAAAAUAAAAACGUAUGGACUCAA